CUUAUCUUGGAUAGGAGGAAUUAAUCUGUCAGCGUAUCCAAACAUUUUUCACGCGUUAAAAGGCAAGAAGAGAUCUCACUUCCCUUCACACUCUCACUCUGCAACUUCGAGAUCAAGCUAAUAGUUAGUUACAGCUUUUCAGCUUUCCGAAAAGAAUGGCGGCAACAUCACCACUCUACAAUCAGCUUAAGGAUGCUGAACCAUUCUUCUUGUUGGCUGGUCCUAAUGUGAUCGAAUCCGAGGACCAUAUCCUUCGAAUGGCCAAGCACAUCAAACACAUUGCCACAAAAGUUGGGUUGCCUCUGGUUUUCAAGUCAAGUUUUGAUAAGGCUAACCGAACUUCUUCUAAGUCCUUCCGAGGUCCUGGCAUGGCUGAGGGUCUCAAGAUUCUUGAGAAGGUGAAAGUAGCAUAUGACUUACCAAUUGUAACUGAUGUUCAUGAGGCGUAUCAGUGUGAAGAAGUUGGCAAGGUUGCUGAUAUAAUUCAGAUACCAGCAUUCUUAUGUCGCCAGACAGAUCUUCUGGUUGCGGCAGCCCAAACCGGAAAAAUUAUCAAUAUUAAGAAAGGACAGUUCUGUGCUCCUUCUGUCAUGGAAAAUUCGGCUGAGAAGAUCAGGCUGGCUGGGAAUCCGAAUGUGAUGGUUUGUGAAAGAGGAACCAUGUUCGGAUACAAUGAUUUGAUAGUAGAUCCACGAAACUUUGAAUGGAUGAGGGAAGCUAAUUGUCCUGUUGUUGCUGAUAUAACACAUGCACUACAACAACCUGCAGGCAAAAAGUUGGAGGGUGGUGGUGUUGCUAGUGGAGGCCUUCGGGAGUUAAUACCCUGCAUUGCCAGAACAGCUGUAGCAGUUGGCGUCGAUGGAAUUUUCAUGGAGGUUCAUGAUGAUCCUCUAAGUGCUCCAGUUGAUGGUCCAACUCAAUGGCCUUUGCGUCAUUUAGAAGAACUCCUAGAGGAGCUCAUCGCGAUUGCUGUAAGUCUUUUAUUGCUUUAUCGUUCCAUGUAUUGUUUACAAAAUCUGUCUUCCUAUACACCAUCAGCGAUGGCAUGAUCUUGAUUCUUAAAUUUUUUGGCAGAGGGUCACAAAAGGAAAGCAGCGGUUCCAAAUCGAUCUCACACCUUACCGCGACUAGGAUUGAAGGUCUCCUCCUCGGACAUAUGGGUCCACGGCAAAUCCUGGAGACCUCAUUGCGGUUGCAACCUCUCCGUAAAGGAUAUCUGUCAUCUACUUGAGCAAAGAGUGUUUAUUUGUUUUUGAUUGCUCCAAACUUUGAACAUAUAAUAUGUUCUUAUUCAAAAAAAUUCUCAAUUUAGAGUGUGAUACAUACAAUAAAUACAAUGAAUUCUGUUUACAUUCGAUAGGCAAAGUUGUACAAGCU